AGACUGCCCAUUUCUUUAAUAAACAUUGUUCAAUACCAAAAUACAUCAAAAAGCAAGUGCUUGGACGAAACAGUAAAAUCUCAACUACCCCUGGAUAAUAAUCCCAAAUUGGACAUAAAGGAAUUGGCAGAGGAAAAAAGUUGGGUAAAAUAAGUGGAUAGAAUCAAGGAAAAGGAUAGAAUCAAUGGACCAGCCCUUAAUAUUACUUGAAUAUUACAGAUGGGGUCAUUAGCCAUCAAUGCUUUACAGAAAGAGACAAACUACAGACUAGCUACAAUAACCUGACAAAAGAUAGAGACCGGCUACAGACUUUUUACAAAAACCUGUCUGAAGAGAGAGAAAAAAUACAAAGAGAGAGAGACCUCUUCCAGACGGUACUUGUGAAAUCUCCAAAUGAAUGGAACGUGUUUAGUAACAGCAUCUAUUACGUCUCCACGGAGAAAAAUAAAUGGGAAUAUGCCAACCAGGACUGUCUGAAGAGAGGGGCACAGCUAGUCAUCAUAAACAACCAAGAGGAACAGAAAUUCCUCAUUACAUUUAACAUACGUACUUGGAUCGGUCUGUCUGACAUAGAGACUGAGGGUACCUGGAGAUGGGUGGAUGGCACACCUCUGACUACAGCGUACUGGGGAGCACCACAGCCUGAUAAUGGUGGUGGUACUAUAGGAGAGGAGGACUGUGCUGAGUUUGUUAAUUUGUAUACUGAUCCUGUAAAGAAAUGGAAUGAUGUUCCAUGUACCACGCAACUUAAUUGGAUUUGUGAAAAAGUAAUUGAAUAACAAUACUUUUUAUCUACAGUACAAUCAGAAUGCAUUAAGGCUGUACACAAACAAUAAACAAUAUGACUUUUAGCACAAAUUUAAAUCCAUUAUGACUUACAGCCUUUUGAUUCACAAGGACUUUUGA